rnacentral:rRNA from 1 species
CUACGGGCUGCUCCAGUGGGGAAUAUUGCACAAUGGAGGAAACUCUGAUGCAGCAACGCCGCGUGGAGGAUGACACUUUUCGGAGCGUAAACUCCUUUUAUAUAGGAAGGAGAUGACGGUACUAUAUGAAUAAGCGCCGGCUAACUCCGUGCCAGCAGCCGCGGUAAUACGGAGGGCGCAAGCGUUACUCGGAAUCACUGGGCGUAAAGCGCGCGCAGGCGGGUUUGUAAGUUGGAUGUGAAAGCCUACGGCUCAACCGUAGAACUGCAUCCAAAACUACUUACCUAGAGUGUGGGAGGGGAAGAUGGAAUUAGUUGUGUAGGGGUAAAAUCCGUAGAGAUAACUAGGAAUAUCAAAAGCGAAGGCGAUCUUCUGGAACACUACUGACGCUGAGGCGCGAAAGCGUGGGGAGCAAACAGGAUUAGAUACCCCAGUAGUC